UUGUAUUAGAAGUAACAUUCAAAAGGACCGACUCUCCAAUGUUAGAGGGAUCAGUACUACCAUUCAAAACCAUACUAUCUGCUAUGACAUUACCAUUUUCCUUAUCACCAUCAGUGGUAAGCAAUAACUGCUGCUCGUUAUUUUUACCUUGCUUGCAAACCUCUACCAAAUUCAGGUUAGAAGUAUUAUCAGUGUCACCUACUGAAAAAGCCAUAGAAGGUCUCAC
rnacentral:lncRNA from 1 species